GGAAUUCAGCCACGUUGCGCCCAUGUUCUAGCAGCUGAAGCUAAGUCUUCCAUUGGAAGGGUCAUAGCUCUUUUCCAAAGCUCUAUUAUUUUAGAACAAAGUCUAGAGUUGCCCCAUUUGCUCAAGAUUUGGAGUCACUGUCACAUCAAUUAUAACUGCAGAGGAUGCAAUAGAAAGGGAUCUUCAACUCUACCGGAGGACAAAACUAUAGUUUUUUGCUCAAUUGGAUCCAGAGCAUCAAAGAAGCCAUCUACAUGUUGUUAUUGAAAAUAAUCUGCACGGAUUUUGUGCCCUUGUUUCCAAGAAUUGCAGUCAAAAUACAGAUUCACUUCAGAAUUGGACGAUAAUCAAGAAAGGCUGCCUUUGUCAGCACCUCAUGCAGUGAAGUUGCGAUAGGUGACCAUUCUGGCCAAGGAGCCUUAGUGCCAGUGUUACGAGUCACUUUGGGCCAAAGGAUGAAAGAGCAGCCAGUUUUCCAUCUGCUCUCUCUUCUCCUGUUCUCUGCACUACGGAAACACCGCAUCACGGAUGGAGAACCACGAAAAGAUCCUCCAAACCAACAGCCCGGAUGAGAAGAUUCAUUAAGGUCAUCACAGACUGUCUGAAAAGGCAGAGACUUAUGCAUGCAGCUUGGCUGCUAUUCAGAUGUCAGAGAGGAGGAGUCAUCAGCCAUUUCCCAAGCCCCUUGUGAGGGAAGAGGAAAGGACAGAGCAGUCCCUCGGGGCCCUGCCACAGUGCUGCAGAAGUAUGGGGCAUUGUGGGGCAAGGCUAUUCUUUGGACUUUGGA